rnacentral:rRNA from 1 species
AUUGAACGCUGGCGGCAGGCCUAACACAUGCAAGUCGAGCGGAUGAAGGGAGCUUGCUCCUGGAUUCAGCGGCGGACGGGUGAGUAAUGCCUAGGAAUCUGCCUGGUAGUGGGGGAUAACGUCCGGAAACGGGCGCUAAUACCGCAUACGUUCUGAGGGAGAAAGUGGGGGAUCUUCGGACCUCACGCUAUCAGAUGAUCCUAGGUCGGAUUAGCUAGUUGGUGGGGUAAAGGCCUACCAAGGCGACGAUCCGUAACUGGUCUGAGAGGAUGAUCAGUCACACUGGAACUGAGACACGGUCCAGACUCCUACGGGAGGCAGCAGUGGGGGUGAGUGGACAAUGGGCGAGAGCCUGAUCCAGCCAUGCCGCGUGUGUGAAGAAGGUCUUCGGAUUGUAAAGCACUUUACGUUGGGAGGAAGGGCAGUAAGUUAAUACCUUGCUGUUUUGACGUUACCAACAGAAUAAGCACCGGCUAACUUCGUG